rnacentral:lncRNA from 1 species
AUGCCAGACUCCAGCUUCCCGCAUGUGGACAUCUUGCCUGCUCUGGGCUUUGACUCAGUGCACCAGGCUGCCUACCCUCCUCACCCCAUCACCGCCCUCUCCAAUGCACUCUCCUCUCUGGCUCUGACCCCCUACCCCCACCAGGCUCCUCUGUACAGACCCCUCCCUUCCUGUGGUUCACCCAGUGGCUUAGGACCGAAUGCUCAGAAGGAGAAGGGAAGGACCUAUGCACAUGAUACACCUAGAAAAAGAAGAAAGGUGGGGUGGUGGUGAAAGCAAGCAAGUGAGCAGGGGGAUAUCUGAAUCAACUCACCCGAUGGCGUGUACAGAUAACUCUGAGCUGCUCUGGCUGACGGAGGUGUGGAGCCAAGAAGCAGUCCAGCCCUUGGCUUGCCCUCCCGCCACCUCGCUAAGACCCUGGGGGAUUUGCAAACCCUGGCUUUAAACCAAGUCAGCUGACAUUUGUAUGUUGCCCAAGAUAACCCACGUGGUUUCCAGUUCUUAUUUAAUGAUGAUUGGAAAAUUGUGAAGUUAUGUUCAGGGUUGAAGCUGAAGUUCCAAUACUUUGGCCACCUGAUGCGAAGAGCUGACU